UUCCGCCAUUUUACAACUGUUGGAGACGGAGAGCAAGCAACAGCAAAUGUUAAAGCAAAUUCUUUCCUGCUUUUGGUCUUGGAUCAGAAACCUCUCGGAUUUCAUCAAAAAUAUCUUGAUUUUGGUUCCGAAGAUGAACGAAGGUCUUACGGUUGUGGAAAGGCAUGAGGAACAGAAAUCGCCAGAGGAACUUGAUUACAGAGGUCACAAGAGCUGGAAAGUGUGGAUAUGAUGGCAGAGAACACUGAUAUUAAUGUACCAGAAAAUACCAGACAGUGCAAGGAGUAUCUUGAAAACUAAGAGUUAUAGGAAUUGUGCCAUAAAAAUUAGUACAUUAAAGCUUGAAGGAUGUUACAACUUGAAGGUCACAGACACACACCCUUUUUAAAUAUAAAGACCUGAAUUAGACCUGCUGUGUUAGAAUGAGAGCAAGAGUGGAUGAAUUUGAAAGUAGCUGCUGUAACUUUUCAGUUCUUGUUGUUUAUUGUGUGUGUGUGUGUGUGUGUGUGUGUGUGUGUGUAAAUAAGUGUGUGUACACUGAAUAAAGUCUUCCAAGUAAGGAUUUUGAGGAUUGAUGAUUUUGUUUGAAAGAAAAAAAGAGAAAAAAAUCUAUUUGAACAGCUUGUUUAUUUUAUACAGUAUGUCAUAACAUUAAAAUCAUUUAGUAAUGUUUAAAUUUAACUUUAGAAACUUUAGUUUUUCUGAAUACAAGAUUGAAUUUGUACAUUUUGUAAGUGUCUUUUCCACUAAGAAAAAAAUGAGACAUUUCAAUAUCAAAGAGACUUUCCCUUGUUUUCUUCUUGAAUAAUGUCAAAACAUUGGGGUUUUUUAUUUUUCUAUUUAUUUAUUUAUUUAUUUAUUUUUAAUUUGUUUAAUUUUUGUAGUGUCUGGUGAGUUGUCUUCACAUUUUGUGGUUUGUAUCUAAGAGAAAGCUCAAUCUCUCUAUAAUUCUACUGACUAGACACUAAUGUAAUUGUCACGGUGCAGCAAGAAUGAUAAAAGGAGAGUUGAGUACAGGAUCUUUUGCAGCAGUUAUAAUAAAUAAAGACAGUUCAAACAGGCAAAUCAAAUCAAAAUGCAGUGUAACAGCUUUGUUUAAACAAAGACAAUAAGUGACAACUUAAGAUAAAAACACAGGGCAAUAUUUUCUAGAGCAAACAAGCAACCAAACAAGACACAGGUGAAUAAAAUAAUCAGUAAGCAUAGAAACAAUUAGUAACUAAGGAAAAUCAGGGAAACAGCAACUGAACACAUUCAAAAGUUUAUACAAACUGAAAGGCCAUGAAAACAGAAACUAAACCAAAACGUGACAGUAAUAUAUUUGUUUGAUG